AGUGGGAUAACUGGGACAAAUGGUGGUUCCAUUCUAGGUUUUCAAUGAAACCUCCAUACUUUUUUCCAGAGUGGUUGCACCAAUUUGCAGUCCCACUGGCAAU
rnacentral:pre_miRNA from 1 species